rnacentral:sRNA from 1 species
UAAGAAAAUGUCUAUCGGGUUUUGAAAUGUGAAAAGAAUUUAACAGCGGACACUGCUUGAGGAACUUUGAGAACGCAGUGGAUGGAAUUAUCAUUUUGCCCCUUCAUUCAAUCAGUCGAAGCGUCGCUUUCGCACACGCAAUUCUAGAUUCAAAAUACGAUUUGUUAUUUAGGUUUUGAAACGCGUAAAGAAUUUAACUGCGCACACUGCUUGAGGAACUUUCAGGUUUUGAAAUGUGAAAAGAAUUUAACAGCGGACGCUGCUUGAGGAACUUUGAGAACGCAGUGGAUGGAAUUAUCAUUUUGCCCCUUCAUUCAAUCAGUCGAAGCGUCGCUUUCGCACACGCAAUUCUAGAUUCAAAAUACGAUUUGUUAUUUAGGUUUUGAAAUGUGCAAAGAAUUUAACAGCGGACACUGCUUGAGGAACUUUCAGGUUUUGAAAUGUGAAAAGAAUUUAACAGCGGACACUGCUUGAGGAACUUUGAGAACGCAGUGGAUGGAAUUAUCAUUUUGCCCCUUCAUUCAAUCAGUCGAAGCGUCGCUUUCGCACACGCAAUUCUAGAUUCAAAAUACGAUUUGUUAUUUAGGUUUUGAAAUGUGCAAAGAAUUUAACAGCGGACACUGCUUGAGGAACUUUCAGAACGCAGUUGAUGGGAUUAUCAUUUUGCCACACACAUUCAAUCAGUCGAAGCACCACUUUCGCACACGCAAUUCUAGAUUCAAAAUACGAUUUGUUAUUUAGGUUUUGAAAUGUGCAAAGAAUUUAACAGCGGACACUGCUUGAGGAACUUUCAGAACGCAGUUGAUGGGAUUAUCAUUUUGCCACACACAUUCAAUCAGUCGAAGCACCACUUUCGCACACGCAAUUCUAGAUUCAAAAUACGAUUUGUUAUUUAGGUUUUGAAAUGUGCAAAGAAUUUAACAGCGGACACUGCUUGAGGAACUUUCAGAACGCAGUUGAUGGGAUUAUCAUUUUGCCACACACAUUCAAUCAGUCGAAGCACCACUUUCGCACACGCAAUUCUAGAUUCAAAAUACGAUUUGUUAUUUAGGUUUUGAAAUGUGCAAAGAAUUUAACAGCGGACACUGCUUGAGGAACUUUCAGGUACAUAAGUUAACAAAUUUAAAUUAAGCAAGGUAACAUGGUUAUUUAUUUUCGAUA